AACCCAGUCUCACGUCUGAACGUGUCACUGUCACGUUAAUUAAUCUAUUGGGACGUGUUGUGUAACACGUUUCCUUGUUAAAAAACGUGUUGAGCAGGACGUAAUUAUCGUGUUACUAUCACGUUGUAUUUCGCAUUCAAUGAGCCAACAGAACCACGUCAUCUGUCAAAAAAGCCCGACCCAAAAUGGCGAGAAUGUUAUUUGAUGCUUUUGACGUGCAGUUUCAUACUCUUAAGCCUGCUUUGAGUUGUGGGUUAGAAGGAGCCACCUUCUAGCUAGCAGUUUUAAAAGGCUGAACCCCAGAAUCCAGAAACAAGAACCGAGCAGGGACGGAGAAAAAAGAAGAAUCCAAAUGGGAAAUGAGAUAAGGCCUCUUCAUUUUCAACUGUGAAGGAUCUACAUGGACUUGGUCUGGAUAGCCUUUCCUGUUUUGAUGAGCCAGUCGGGUCUAGAGGGAAAACCCUAUAUGAGCCCCAGGAUCCUUGCUCCUGAUAUCCUGAUGUAUGGGUUGCACUUCAUUAUAUGACUCCAACAGAAC